UCAGUACAAGUUAUUUCAACUACAUCUGA
rnacentral:piRNA from 1 species